rnacentral:lncRNA from 1 species
CUGCCUACUGCUGGACAGAUUCUGGUCCCUUACCUCAGGUCUAGACUGAGUCUCCACCUCAGCCAUAGAGUGACGCCGACUCACACUGUACCCCCAACCCUGGCCACACACUCAGUCUUGACACCAAGCACAGAGUGAGGCUUAACCCUAGUGGCAGACCGAGCCCGAGGAUGUGAUAGUCUCUGACCAUUUGCUUGGGCCCCAAAUUCUCCCAUGAUCCCAGGUCUUAUCUCCCAGCAGCACCGCAUGCAGAGAACAAAGCUCCCUAAUGCCUGUCUAGCCCUGCUGCCAAUCCCAAACUUAGCUCUACUCUCCACAACUUUCCCUACAGAAAACCCACUGGGUUUUCUAAGGAUUUUUACUACUGGUGUCUACAGGCACAAGAAAACAGAUGGGCUAAACAGAUGGGAAAAGCCUCCGAGUGGUAAGGUUUUCGAAGCUGGAAGGUCCCUUAGAGAGCAUCCAACCUCACCCCCUUGCUUUACAGCAAGGCCCAGAGAAGUUCCUAAGUAACUUGCUCAAGGUCAUGCAGCAAACCAGCAGCUAAACCAGAAAUGGAAUCCAGGUCGCCUCUCAGCCCAGUGUUCCCUCUCCUGCCUCCCUACAACAGAGUAGGGGGUAUCGCCCAUCUGGUAAAACAGCGCCCAGAAUUUCCUCUGGGAACCCACUCCUCCUCUAUUCUCUACCCAUGAUUUGCGUGAAAUCCAAUCCAAUCUUCGGCAAGUGUUCCCCUGGUCCUGUGAUUGGUUGGAAGCCAGACUCAGCACCCAAUUGGGCAAGGCGGGGCCGGGAAGUGUGCUGAGACCGCAGUUCCUCCUCCUUGGUGCACUCAAAGCUGAGGACUGGGAGGCACGAGUGCUGCCUGCCUCACUGUCAUCUCACGUGGGCUGAGGAUGAAGCCAAUCCCGGAUGAGGAGGAAACAUGUGCAAUGAAGAGAAAUGGAAUUGUCGGGGCAUCAUCUGAACAUCCACCAACCCAUACCUGGAAGAGUUCCUCCCUCUGGCUUUUUUAGUUCCGUAAGUCAAUAAAAUCCCCUUGUACUUAAAGCCAUCUGGGUUGGGUCGCUGUUGUGUGCAGGCCUGACCAAUACCGAAGGCAAGCUCUUUCUGGCUCUCCCAGAACGGCACUUCCCUACAUCAAACCGUCCCGCUCUCAGACCUCAACCAUCUUUUUGCCCUUGGUUUCUCCCCACUUCUGGAGCUCCAUGGAGCAUGGUCCCUCCCCCGACAGGGCUCUGUCUUCUCCAGUGUCCCCCACAUUGUGGCAGGCAGAACAAUGCCCCUAACCCCCACAAAGAUGUCCACAUCCUAAUGCCUAGAAUCUGUGAAUGUGUUCUUAUCGUACGCAGCAAAGAGGAAUUAAUGCUGCAGAUGCAAUUAAGGUUUCUAAUCAUCUGAUCUCAAAAGAGUAGAUUAUCCUGGAUUAUCUGAUUGGGUGCAAUGUAAACACCAAUGUCCUUAAAAGUGGAAGAAAGAGGCAGAAGAGAGCCAGGGUGACAGCAGUGUCAGAAGGACGCAGCCCAACAUUUCUGGCUUUAAAGACAGAAAGGGCCCAUGAGCCAAAGAAAG